AGCGAACGCUGGCGGCAGGCUUAACACAUGCAAGUCGAGCGGACGUAGCAAUACGUCAGCGGCAGACGGGUGCGUAACGCGUGGGAACGUACCUUUUGGUUCGGAACAUCACAGGGAAACUUGUGCUAAUACCGGAUAAGCCCUUACGGGGAAAGAUUUAUCGCCGAAAGAUCGGGUCGCGUCUGAUUAUCUUGUUGGUGAGGUUACGGCUCACCAAGGCGGAGAUGCGUAGCUGGAAUGAGAGGAUGUUCAGGCACAUUGGGACUGAGACACGGCCCAAACUCCUCCGGAAGGCAGCAGGCGGGAAGAUGCGACAAUGGGGGCAACACGGAGCCAGCCAUGCCGCGUGAGUGAUGAAGGCCCUAGGGUUGUAAAGCUCUUUUGUGCGGGAAGAUAAUGACGGUACCGCAAGAAUAAGCCCCGGCUAACUUCGU
rnacentral:rRNA from 1 species